rnacentral:rRNA from 1 species
AUGGUCACCAAGGAAGUCCUCUCGGCAAAGCCAUUGAGAUCCUUUUCUCUAGUGUGUGUGCGUUGUGUGUGUGUGUGUUCCUCCGUGUAUGUGUGUUCUGGUGCUCUUGACAGAAGAGAGAGUUGUGAGAGACAAAGAGAGGUAGAAGAAGAGCGGCGCCUGAGAGGCGGCGCCAACAAUUGGCAUCAGAGCCUUGUUGAUCCGAGGCGAUGGCGGCGGCGCGGCGGACUCCAUGUGAGGGGGAUGUUGGCGGCGCAAGGUGGACGCCGUUGGCAGCAUGAUGCUGCUACCCGCCGGUGCGUGUCUCCAUCAUCAUCGAGCUGCGUCAUGAGUGAUGGAGAGAGGUGUGCUGCUUGGUAA